AGAGUUUGAUCCUGGCUCAGAUUGAGCGCUGGCGGCAUGCUUUACACAUGCAAGUCGAACGGCAGCACGGGGGCAACCCUGGUGGCGAGUGGCGAACGGGUGAGUAAUGCAUCGGAACGCGUCCUGUAAUGGGGGAUAACCUAGCGAAAGUUAGGCUAAUACCGCAUACGUCCUGAGGGAGAAAGCGGGGGAUCGUAAGACCUCGUGUUAUAGGAGCGGCCGAUGUCGGAUUAGCUAGUUGGUGGGGUAAAGGCCUACCAAGGCGACGAUCCGUAGCGGGUCUGAGAGGACGGCCCGCCACACUGGGACUGAGACACGGCCCAGACUCCUACGGGAGGCAGCAGUGGGGAAUUUUGGACAAUGGGGGCAACCCUGAUCCAGCCAUGCCGCGUGAGUGAAGAAGGCCUUCGGGUUGUAAAGCUCUUUCGGCCGGGAAGAAAUCGUGCGGGCUAAUACCCUGUAUGGAUGACGGUACCGGAAGAAGAAGCACCGGCUAACUACGUGCCAGCAGCCGCGGUAAUACGUAGGGUGCGAGCGUUAAUCGGAAUUACUGGGCGUAAAGCGUGCGCAGGCGGUUUCGUAAGACAGAUGUGAAAUCCCCGGGCUUAACCUGGGAACUGCGUUUGUGACUGCGAGACUUGAGUGCGGCAGAGGGGGGUGGAAUUCCACGUGUAGCAGUGAAAUGCGUAGAGAUGUGGAGGAACACCGAUGGCGAAGGCAGCCCCCUGGGUCGACACUGACGCUCAUGCACGAAAGCGUGGGGAGCAAACAGGAUUAGAUACCCUGGUAGUCCACGCCCUAAACGAUGCGAACUAGGUGUUGGGGAAGGAGACUUCUUUAGUACCGUAGCUAACGCGUGAAGUUCGCCGCCUGGGGAGUACGGUCGCAAGAUUAAAACUCAAAGGAAUUGACGGGGACCCGCACAAGCGGUGGAUGAUGUGGAUUAAUUCGAUGCAACGCGAAAAACCUUACCUACCCUUGACAUGCCCGGAACCCUGCUGAGAGGUGGGGGUGCCCGAAAGGGAAUCGGGACACAGGUGCUGCGUGGCUGUCGUCAGCUCGUGUCGUGAGAUGUUGGGUUAAGUCCCGCAACGAGCGCAACCCUUGUCACUAAUUGCCAUCAUUUGGUUGGGCACUUUAGUGAGACUGCCGGUGACAAACCGGAGGAAGGUGGGGAUGACGUCAAGUCCUCAUGGCCCUUAUGGGUAGGGCUACACACGUGCUACAAUGGCAUCUACAGAGCGAAGCAAACCCGCGAGGGGGAGUUAACCGCACAAAAGAUGCCUCAGUUCGGAUUGGAGUCUGCAACUCGACUCCAUGAAGUCGGAAUUGCUAGUAAUCGCGGAUCAGCACGCCGCGGUGAAUACGUUCCCGGGCCUUGUACACACCGCCCGUCACACCACGAAAGUUGUCCGUUCCUGAAGUCGGUGCGCUAACCGUAAGGAGGCAGCCGCCCACGGAACGGGGGAUGAUUGGGGUGAAGUCGUAACAAGGUA
rnacentral:rRNA from 1 species